rnacentral:tRNA from 1 species
GCCGACCUGGCUCAAUUGGUAGAGCAACUGACUUGUAAUCAGUAGGUUGGGGGUUCAAGUCCCUCGGUCGGCA